CGCAAACUCCCUCCACAACGAUAGCAGCAGUUUAAAAAGAGGGCACUGAAGAAGAGGACCUCAAAGAGAACACUUACAAUGAAGAACCAAAGCAGAUGUCUGUGCGUUAUUCUGCCCAAUAACACAGAACUGAGUUUGACUGUUGGGCUUAAAGACAGAGGUCAAGACGUGUUCGAACAGCUGUUUGAGCGACUCGGCACCUCAGAUCUUACCUUCUUUGGUCUGAGUGUGGUAAAGGACAGUCAACCCCUGUUUUUGGAUUUGGGGCAUAAAUUGUCAUUGUACCUCCCAAAGUCCUGGAGAAAGAAUACAUCAAAGGAGAAAGUGAUUCUCUCCCUCAAAGUGCAGUACUUUGUAGAAAAUGUUCAACUAAUUUUAAACCGUGAUACCCGCCAGCUGUAUUACGCUGAGGUGAAGGGGAGAGUUUUGAGAUCUGAGUGCUUUGAGCAGGAAGGACUGUACUUCCAGCUGGCUGCCUACGCCCUUCAAGCUGAUCUUGGAGAUUGCGAAGAAAACUUUGCAUACUUUAGCCCACAGGGAUUUUUCCCUUUUUGGAUUGUACAGAAGCAUGGGAAUGAUUAUAUCCUGAAGCACACCCCAGCCCUGCACAGGGAGCUUAAAGGAAUGUCAUCCAGCGAGGCUGCCUCGCUUUUCAUUCAGGAAGCGUUUACCUUGAGUGAUGUGCCUCUCACCAUCUAUAGAUUGUCCAAAGAAAAGAAAAAAACACAAGGUUGUGUCCUCGUGGGUGUGACAUCUACAGGACUGCAGAUCUCUGAGGUGCUGAAUGGGAAGGUGUAUGAUUUUCCGUGGCCCUCCAUUCAUUCCAUUACUUUUCAGGGCAGGAAGUUUGACAUUCGUGCUGAUGGUUUGUUUGAGAAAAAGCUGGUGCUUUAUAGUCUGUCCGUCCUUCAUGCCAAAAACCUGCUGCAGCACGUAAGAAACAGUCACCGACUGCAUCUCAACAUAAAGCCCUUGGUCAUGAAGCUCAAGGAAAAAAACGGGAGACACAGAGAGAUGUACAUCACAGAUGGAGCUGAUCUGGUGUUUGAGGACAGUGAUGAUGAUGAUGAGCUUCCACCAAUGAAGUUCCUCGUAGACAACAUCCAGAAGCAAACCACUGGCACCACCGAGAGUAAAACUGUCACGGGAAGUGGUGCUUCAAAUGGCGCUUGCUGUUUAGAGAUGAGUGUUGAUGAGCCUGAAGAAAUGUUGGUAGAUGAUCCUGAAGAUGUUCUGCGUUUAAUUGAGCUGGUGGAGGGUGUAUCUGUGGAUGGUCCUUUAUUGUUGCCAAUUUCUCACUGGGAAGGUGAGAAUAGGAAAGUUUGGGGUGAAACAAAUCAAAUCAGUUAAUUUCCACUACUGUCCACCCUGCUAGAAAACCCGCUUGAGGCAUCUCUAUCCCCAUCUCAGUCGUGGGUGUUAACCUGGAAGUGACAAGCAAACACAAGCCAUGGAGGAAAAACAGCUUUCGAAUAUGCAUUUGUGCUUUGAAUGAACUAACUCCUUUUCACAUUAUGUCCCUAAAUAUUCAACAUAUAAAAUACACAGAAAUUGUUUGCAAAGCAUGCUGAAGUUAUUUUUACAUGCAAAAGACGUCAUGUUUUGUUUUAUUGAACUUUGAUCUUUACUGAAAAACCUACGGAAACCACUGUGUACAAACAGAAGUAUUGUGAAAUAUGUGGUGGGAAAAUGCCACAUAAUAGACCGUGAGGACAUGGAAAUGAUAACAUGCUAACUUUGGACAUUAUCUGACAUAUUGUGCCAUGCUGUCAUGGUUUAAAAUGCUGAGUCAUCAGAAAUAUGCAUUGCAUCUUUUAAGGAAGAAACGAGGGGGUGGGUAGGCAGGCAUAAAUGAGAUGGGCUGGCUUCACAUGGUUUGCCAAAUUUCAUUCAGUAUCACAUCAUGAAUGCGUUUGGAUUGAUUCUGAUUGUUUGCCUGCACCUUUGCUGUAAUGCACUACAAAAUGGAACGUGCAACAACUACACAGUGGCAUUUAUAGAGACGGCAGAAAAAGUGUCUUGCUUUAAGGUGAUGGAUGGACAUGGUGCUAUUUGUUGGACAGGCCAUCCAACCCAGUCAUGUCAGAUAGACUACAGAGAUGACAAGACGUGCAUCAAGUGGCCAGUAGACACUGCAAUCUCAUGUGUGAAGGAGUCUGAUGAGAUGAUUAAAACAG